AGUGGCGGAUGGGUGAGUAACACGUGAGAAUUUGCCUUUAGGGGGGGGAUAACAAUUGGAAACAAAUGCUAAUACCCCAUAUGCUUUUGAGUGAAAUGGAUUUAUCCGCCUAGAGAGAAGCUCGCGGCUGAUUAGCUUGUUGGUAAGGUAAGAGCUUACCAAGGCGACGAUCAGUAUCUGGUUUGAGAGGACGAUCAGACACACUGGAACUGAGACACGGUCCAGACUCCUACGGGAGGCAGCAGUGGGGAAUUUUCCGCAAUGGGCGAAAGCCUGACGGAGCAAUACCGCGUGAGGGAAGACUGCCUAUGGGUUGUAAACCUCUUUUUUCAGGGAGGAAUAAAAUGACGUGUACCUGAAGAAUAAGCAUCGGCUAACUCCGUGCCAGCAGCCGCGGUAAGACGGAGGAUGCAAGUGUUAUCCGGAAUCACUGGGCGUAAAGCGUCUGUAGGUUGUUUAAUAAGCCAACUGUUAAAGCUUGAGGCUCAACUUCAAAAUCGCAGUCGAAACUAUUAGACUAGAGUAUAGUAGAGGUAAAGGGAAUUUCCAGUGGAGCGGUGAAAUGCGUAGAUAUUGGAAAGAACACCGAUUGCGAAAGCACUUUACUGGGCUAUUACUAACACUCAGAGACGAAAGCUAGGGUAGCAAAUGGGAUUAGAUACCCCAGUAGUCCUAGCCGUAAACAAUGGAUACUAGAUGU
rnacentral:rRNA from 1 species